rnacentral:rRNA from 1 species
GAUUUCUGACUUGGCGCACCUGGCCCGCCACGGUUACGUGUGUGAGUGCCGGGAUGCGCCUGUCACUUUUCUGGUAAACCAUUGUGCUCUUCACUGAGUGCGAUGGGUAGCCAGAUAUUUUACUUUGAAAAAAUUAGAGUGUUUAAAGCAGGCGUUUGCUAUGAAUACAUUAGCAUGGAAUAAUAAGUUAGGACUUCGGUUCUAUUUUGUUGGUUUCUAGGACUGAAGUAAUGAUUGAUAGGGAUAGUUGGGGGUGCUAGUAUUCAGCGGCCAGAGGUGAAAUUCUCGGAUUCGCUGAAGACUAACUUAUGCGAAAGCAUU